rnacentral:rRNA from 1 species
UACGUAGGGUGCGAGCGUUGUCCGGAAUUAUUGGGCGUAAAGGGCUCGUAGGCGGUUUGUCGCGUCGGGAGUGAAAUCCACUGGCUUAACUGGUGGCUUGCUUUCGAUACGGGCAGACUGGAGGUAUGCAGGGGGAGAACGGAAUUCCUGGUGUAGCGGUGAAAUGCGCAGAUAUCAGGAGGAACACCGGUGGCGAAGGCGGAAUCUCGUGGGCCAAUUACUGACGCUGGAGGAGCUGAA